GUAAAUCUACUUAUCUUCCAAAACAAGGGCAAAGCCCUGUCCUGUCCUCAGAAAUAAAAAUGAAAGUCGACCUGAACUCUCUCUCCCCUUCUCCCUUCUCUUUUACCGGCACUAUGGUCUCCGACCCAUCUGCCGUAGGAACCAACGAUCGACAAACUAUACGCGCGCGUUACUCGAUCAGCUAUGAUCUGAUCAACAGUUCUGGAUGUCGUCGUCGAUUGGACUUGAAGAAGUGAUGGGUUUUCUUGAACAGUCGUUUCCUGAUGUUGAAAUAGCUAUUGAACUUGGGAAGCAAUAUUGAAAGAAGCUAGAGGAAACAAUGGAGAAAUUCUCACAAGGUGAAAUUACAAUUCUCACAUGCACUAAUAUAGUAGAAAGUGGGCUUGACAUUCAGAAUGCAAACACCAUUAUAUAUAAUUGAGGAUGUUCAACAAUUUGGCCUAGCACAGUUGUAUCAGGAAUAACAAUGUUGAGAAUUCUAUUGAUAGCUACCGCGAAGCCUUUGACGUUGUUGACCUGAUGGUAUAUAAUGGUACAUGCUGUUGGCUCUCUUUUCCAAUAUAUCCGGCUGGGAAUCGGCCUGUCUACAAGGCAAAUGGUAUGGCAGCAUACUUUGUCACAUUGACAGAUUACUUGCUUGACAGUUUCUUCUGGAGAUCAGACAUGUAUAAGUCAUCCAUGAAGGAGAAGAGGAAAUUGCAGUAUCAUGCCUAGAAUUAAGGCUGCCAAGAAUUUUUCUUUGGUUUGAUAGGAAUCAUUGAAUUUGUAUUUUAAUUUUAAUUUUUUUUAAUAUGAAAUAUUGCAGUCACCAUUGUUAGAAAGUGUGUUUUCUGAUGAUGGGGCCCACAGUUUGAAAGUCACCAAAAAAAUGAUAGUGUCAUUUUGAGUAUAUGCCACGCCAGCAAAGGCAACCAUUCUUUAAUUAGUGUCUAAGAAGGUGCCUAUUGCUAUUAGACACUAAUCAUGGUUGCCUUUAACUUCAAUACACACCAUUCACAAUGGUGUUCAUAGCUCAGUUUUGUAGUAGUGAAAUCAUGGUUCAGGUACAACAACAAAAAUUAUAAUAACAUCCUCUACUUGUUUGUCUUUA